GAGGAGGGUGAGACAGACAAUCCCAAGGAGGUUCCGCACUGUCAGCACGGAGCCUGACAUGGGGCUGGAACCCACAAACCAUGAGAUCAUGACCUGAGCUGAAAUCAAGAGUCAGAUGCCCAGGCGCCCCAUGGACACAAUAUUACUGCUGUUCCUGCUCUGUUAAUCUAGUGUGAUGUCUUCAUUUUACAGAUGAGAAACUGAGGCCCAGAGAGGGCAGAGCUUCAGCCAAGGCCACCCAGCAGGCCACUGGCCCCCUGACCUGGAAAGCAGCGCUCCAGGGUUCUAGCCCAGGUAUGUCACCAGUGACUGGUUGUGUGACCGUGGCCUGGUCUGUUCUCUCUGGGCCUCGGUUUUCCUGUUGGUGAACCAACAAGGAAGGCUGGUCAUUCCUCCACCUGCUCCCAGCUCCAUCAGACCAGUGGGGGACACUAUGACCAAGCCCCAAGGCUUGUGCUCGGAGGUCUGGGGCUAGCAGUUGCUGAGGUCACUCAAGGACCCACAAGCGCUGAGGACGUGCAGUGGAAUGAACAGCCAUCGUGGAAAUAAUUCGGAAAUGGGAAGAGCCGCCCACCAUCCUAGCCGCCGGCUUCGCCUCCCGGCAGCUUCGCUGAAGCACUUGCCAUGGGUCACACACCGCGUUUUCCGUGGCUGCUCUCACUGAACGUGCACGACCGGCCAGUGACGUAGGGACGGGCUGCGGAUAGGGAAACUGAGGCACGGAGCUGUCAGGUCAUCUCCUCAAGUCACACAGCUAGCAUGUGAUAAAGGAGCAUUUCUGAGUAGCCCCUGGUGCCAGCCCUGCCUCAGAGCAGAGACAUAAAACUCCUGAGACGGGGAGAGACAUCACCUUCGUUUUCUGCCGAUUUUCACUGAACUUAGCAGUAAGAGCUAUUUUGGUCACGGCCAUAUGACCGUGAGGCGAGAGUGGCCAACUGUCUCAGUUUGCCUCGGUUUCCUGGGAUGCAGAGCUUUUAGUGCUAAAGCAGGGACAGUCCAUCUGUUGCCCCAGGCAAAUGGAGACAGUCGGUCACCCUAGGGGCACAGAGCACAAUGUGCUUUCCGAGUCAUUGCCUGGUGUUGGACCCCUGCACUCUUUCCCUUCUUGGCUGGUCAGGCUGGGCAGCCUCGUGACCACAGCUCGUCACUGAGCGUUCUUCCCUUGGGAACCCCUCCCCGGGUGGGAGAAGAUGGGCUUUGGGUGUGGAGAUGUACGUGAGUCAACCCCACUCUCCUGACCGGUCCCUCAUCUGAGUCUGCAGAGGGGGUCAGCCAGGAAAUUGGGACAGGGCUGAGGGCAGUGGUGAGGGCCUGUGGUGUGUUGGAGCCUGCUCGUACGGGCUCGUAGGAGUUGAUCGUCAAACACAGUCACUAUUAAGAAUUAAAUCACACGUGGGGCCCCCCGGGUGGCUCAGUCCAUUAAGCGUCUGACUUCAGCUCAGGUCAUGAUCUCACAGUUCAUGAGUUUGAGGCCCGCGUCGGGCUCUGUGCUGACAGCUCAGAACCUGGAGCCUGUUUCGGAUUCUGUGUCUCCCUCUCUGUCUCUGCCCCG